UCCAUUUAUUUCUUCCAUAUUUAUCUUUUAUCUAUGGUUAGCAAUAGUGCCUUCCCUCAGGCAUAGCUGGCUGGGAUACCUUCCCCAAGUUGUACAAGGAAACUGAAGGAGAGCGAACAUGAGAAGUAGCUCUCCCCUCCCUCACACACAUACCUUAAGCCUUCAAGUUGCUCUGUUUGGCAUUGCCUCCCAUCUCUUUCCUCCUCUAGCAUGUCCUCUAUUCCUGUUUCUAAUAUUUCCUAUCUCAAUUCUAACGACCAGUGCUGCUACAAAAUUCACUCCAGUGAGAGCCUACCUGUACCUCCUCAGGUUUGGUGAGGUUGUCACUCAAGGUGUCCCACUCCCAGCCAAAGAGGAGCACAUGAUCCCAAGCAAGAAGAACUGAAACAGAGAUGCAGAACUAUUUGGCAUGUGGAGUGAAGAAACCCACCUCCCGCCUCCACCCUACAUCCUGACCACCAUGGUUUGCCAUCACCCUGCUCUCCUGGAGGAGACAAUGAAGUUACCCAGUCUGCUGUGGUCCAGAAGCAGAUGGUCCUCCACCUGACAUUUGGUCAGAAGGUCAACAUGUUAGGGUCCAGGACUCCGAGGUUUCUCAGAUAACAAGCCACACGGACACGGAGAUGAAAAUUCAAGCAAA